rnacentral:rRNA from 1 species
CACACUGGACUGAGACACGGUCCAGACUCCUACGGGAGGCAGCAGUGGGGAAUAUUGCACAAUGGGCGAAAGCCUGAUGCAGCCAUGCCGCGUGUAUGAAGAAGGCCUUCGGGUUGUAAAGUACUUUCAGUUGUGAGGAAGGGGGUAGCGUUAAUAGCGCUAUCUCUUGACGUUAGCAACAGAAGAAGCACCGGCUAACUCCGUGCCAGCAGCCGCGGUAAUACGGAGGGUGCGAGCGUUAAUCGGAAUUACUGGGCGUAAAGCGCAUGCAGGUGGUUCAUUAAGUCAGAUGUGAAAGCCCGGGGCUCAACCUCGGAACUGCAUUUGAAACUGGUGAACUAGAGUACUGUAGAGGGGGGUAGAAUUUCAGGUGUAGCGGUGAAAUGCGUAGAGAUCUGAAGGAAUACCAGUGGCGAAGGCGGCCCCCUGGACAGAUACUGACACUCAGAUGCGAAAGCGUGGGGAGCAAACAGGAUUAGAUACCCUGGUAGUCCACGCCGUAAACGAUGUCUACUUGGAGGUUGUGGCCUUGAGCCGUGGCUUUCGGAGCUAACGC